rnacentral:rRNA from 1 species
AUUGAACGCUGGCGGAAUGCUUUACACAUGCAAGUCGAACGGCAGCACGGACUUCGGUCUGGUGGCGAGUGGCGAACGGGUGAGUAAUACAUCGGAACGUACCCAGAAGUGGGGGAUAACGUAGCGAAAGUUACGCUAAUACCGCAUAUUCUGUGAGCAGGAAAGUGGGGGAUCGCAAGACCUCACGCUUUUGGAGCGGCCGAUGUCGGAUUAGCUAGUUGGUGAGGUAAAGGCUCACCAAGGCGACGAUACGUAGCGGGUCUGAGAGGAUGAUCCGCCACACUGGGACUGAGACACGGCCCAGACUCCUACGGGAGGCAGCAGUGGGGAAUAUUGGACAAUGGGGGAAACCCUGAUCCAGCAAUGCCGCGUGUGUGAAGAAGGCCUGCGGGUUGUAAAGCACUUUCGGAGGGGACAAAAAGCGUCGGGCUAACACCCAGGCGUCUUGAUUUAACCCUCAUAAGAAGCACCGGCUAACUCUGUGCCAGCCGCCGCGGUAA